rnacentral:rRNA from 1 species
UACGAAGGGGGCUAGCGUUGUUCGGAAUCACUGGGCGUAAAGGGCGCGUAAGCGGCUUUAUAAGUCGGGGGUGAAAGCCUGUGGCUCAACCACAGAAUUGCCUUCGAUACUGUAGAGCUUGAGACCGGAAGAGGUAAGUGGAACUGCGAGUGUAGAGGUGAAAUUCGUAGAUAUUCGCAAGAACACCAGUGGCGAAGGCGGCUUACUGGUCCGGUUCUGACGCUGAGGCGCGAAAGCGUGGGGAGCAAACAGG